CAAAUCAUGUCCAACCUGGAGAAAGAAGAACUCUCCAAUGCAAUUAUCCUCUAUCUUAGAAGUCUUGGGAUUCAUGUCCAGCCUUGGAAGAUCAGCUCUAGCGAGGAGAAUCACACGGUGCCUUGUGUAGCUGGUGGUCUGUUUGGUGUCCCACUGCACACACUGCCCAUUUCAAAGCAGGUAGCCGGUGUGCCACAGUUCCUUGCUGAUGCUUGUGAGUUGCUCCGGCCACACCUUCACGUUGAAGGACUUUUCCGGAAAUGUGGAUCAACGACACGCAUCAAGGCUUUAAAGGUAUUGUCCCCAAGUCUCUCUUGGGAAAAGUGCAAGCUGCAUUUUCUGACCUGGAUGGAAAGAGACAGCCUUCAUCUGAAUCUGAAGGACAGAAAGAGAGCGAAGGGGAAGUAAGGCGGAGGCGGCGGAGGCACAGUGUGAGCAACUUUGUAACUGAGACCCUGAGCAAAUUCAAGACAAGCCGAUCUCUUUAUGCUGCUCCUUGCCAAGAGAUUAAAACAGGCUCCUCGACUGACAGUACUCUGAGAAUGUCUUUUAAUUCCAAGCGGAAAGCUUCUGAAGAUGUUGCCUGGGCUGCUGAACUUUCAGUCAAGAAGAGGAGAUCGGGCUUGGAUUCACUCAGCUUUGAUACCUUUGUGGAUGAUGCCGGGGACCCAUGUAUUCAACCAAUGUAUUGGGGUUCUGUGCAAGGAAAAGAGGCACUCAGCCCACCAAGCUCAACUGUACAAAUUCAAAGAAAACGGAGCGGCAGCAAGAAAAAACACACUCAGAGAAAACAUCCUGUUCAGACUUCCCCUAGCUCCUCCCCAACCUCUUUUGAGCGAAAGGACACAGGACGCAAAUCCUUACGCAUCUUCUCCCGCCAGAGUAAAGAUCUGGCAGGAGAACCAAGCAGCUGGCUUCUGGUGAAGAAGAUGGUCCCAGAGACUAUUGAAAGUCCCACGUCCCAAGAGAAAUGGGCCCAGCUGCAGUCAUACAGGCUCAGAGAAAGUGCAACAGGCUUUCCAAGACAGUUGGCCAAAGGAAGCAAUUGCCCCGCUAUCUCUAUAAAACCGGAGACUCCACCUGUUGCUGUGAAAUGCAAAAACUGUAAGGUGCCAAGCCCAGGCGUUGAUUAUGUCAUGUCUGGAUGCCAAGAGAUGGGUUUGGAUGACGGGUUUGAAAAAAGAGGGGUAUUGGACAAGGCUGGCUAUUUGGUAAGGAAGACCCAGCCGUUGGCUCCUCCAGCCAAGCAAGACAAACCUAUCCGUCGAUCGAUAAGUUGGUCUGAAGGUCUGUCAAUGAACAUUCCCACCGAAGAAACAGAUUUCUCUCCAGACGAAAUUCCUCUGAAACCUGGACAACAUGAAGCCUUCCCAUUUGACCUACCCGACGCAGCUCAACUCGAUAUGGAAGUCUUAGUGGCUGGCGUGAGGCAGCUGGGCAUCUCUGCUGUGUGUGUAACACCGGUGGAGAGCUGUGAUCCUGGCUGCCCAGAGAAUGGGCCUCGCGAUCCACUUACCUCCACACCAAACCUGUGUGAUAGCCGUAUCCCUCUUGCUGAAGGCCUCUGCCAAAUCAAAGAGGUGCCCAAAAGCCGGCUCAAGUGCCUGACCCUCAAUUUUCAAGCCAGUGAGACAUCCAAAGUUCCCAAACGUAAAGGUGGGCGCCGAUUUGGUCGCUCGAUUAGCCAUGAAAGUGGCUUGCCCUUGCAGGCUGAACAAGAGGCACCCACAGGGCAGAGUGGCCAUGCCAAGAAGGGGGCCUCUGUUCAGUCUCCCAGAAGCCCCUUGCAGUCCUUCAAGGCUUAUGGGAGGCAAAUUUUUAUAAGCCGCAAACAUAUCAUGAUGUCUUUUGCUGGGCUUCGAGGCAAAAAGGAGGCGCCAUGCCCCCGGGGCACUGAAGGGCCAACUGUGGCCACACCAGAACUAUAACUAGGAAUAUCUGUGAGAAGGAAAACAAUCAAAGAUAAAUAAAAUAAGAUUGUAAUAAUGGUCUCCCAGACUCUGCCCUUGGGUGAUCGUUGUCAAUAAUUUAAAAAACCAGAUGUGUAGGAAAACCUGCCCCAAUGUACUCAGCCUUUUUGCCUGCUGGGAGUAGAGUUCUAUUUCUGGCUGCUAUUACAGGUGGAACAUUUAAUUUGCACAGUCCAACUUCAUUGCAUUUCUUUGUAGCUUUUUGGCACAAUUUCAAGUAGCUCAAAUUUAUAAGGGGGUUAGGUUUCUGGAAAGAAAAGUGCUGGUAACAGCUAUUCUGUCCCUUAAGAUGAGACUGAUGUUGGUUUUGGUCUCCUAGCCUUCGCAUAGUCCAUUCUGUUGCCCUUAAAUCCACCUUAAGUCCAUCCUCUCUUUUUCCUGCCAUUUCACCUUGUGCUCGUGCACAACAUCAGUGUCUUCUAGCAAACCAUAUUUUGAUUAUAGAUGUUUAAAAAUGAUGUGUUUAGUCAUCCUUCUGUCAUCCUGCCCUCCAUCCAAAUAAGCUACCUCUAGUGGCCUUGAAUGACCAGGCCUGUGUAUUUUUGUUUUGAAAUAUUUGAAUUAUUGUCCUCAAUAUUAUUAUUUUGCCAUUGGGUAUAUGAUUUACAGCCAGCAGAGCCUGAAGAUGAGAACAUGUUUGGCUUCUCAAACCUGUUUUGGACUUGAGGUUUAUAGCAAAAGUAAAAGGGAAUAUAGUUUGGCUAUCAACUGCUGUGACAUGUAUUCUACCCCAAAUUACGGUGGUCACGAAAGGGAUACUAAGACACAAAUAUAAAUUGAUAUAUUAUGCAUAUGACAGAAUAAUUUUUCUCAAACUUGGUGUUCUCUAUAUGUGUUGCACCACAAUGAAUGCAAGCUAUUGUCCAAUAAAACUGAUGGACACCAGCAGGUGGGAAAAAAUGGAUCAUUCCUGUUUUGUCUGGAUGAUGUUUGUAUGCACCUCAUUUCUUCAAUCCUCCUUUAGAAAGAUGUCAAGUGCCCUGUCGUUUCUAAUAUACCCCAUAAUGAUUUUAUAAUGAUUGUUGUGUUUGCCUCUCAUGUGCCUUUUCUUAAUCUUAUCACAAAAUAAUUAAAAGCAAGAAAUAUCAAGUGAUUGGUCUUCUCUUAAACAACAGAUCACAGAACAUACAUAUGCUGCAAAUAUUCAAUGCCAGUUAUACACAGACAAGACAGACAAUUUUACAUAGAUACAGUAGAGUCUCACUUAUCCAAGCCUCGCUUAUCCAAGUUUCUGGAUUAUCCAAGCCAUUUUUGUAGUCAAUGUUUUCAAUAUAUCAUGAUAUUUUGGUGCUAAAUUCAUAAAUACAGUAAUUACUACAUAAUAUUACUGCAUAUUGAACUGCUUUUUCUGUCAAAUUUGUUUUCAAACAUGAUGUUUUGGUGCUUAAUUUGUAAAAUCAUAACCUAAUUUGAUGUUUAAUAGGCUUUUCCUUAAUCCCUCCUUAUUAUCCAAGAUAUUCGCUUAUCCAAGCUUCUGCCGGCCCAUUUAGCUUGGAUAAGUGAGACUCUACUGUAGAAGUAUAUAUAUGCUUUUCCCAUUUUUGGCAUCUUGGAGGCUUGUACUCGAUUCUGGCAAUGGGGGGGGGGAGGGGAAAUGCUGCUGCUCCAUCUCCCUACCAAAGAGCUUUGUUAGUAAACUUUCCUCCUUGAUUAAAUUGCCAGAAUUUUCUGACAUUUCCUUACAAGAGCCUUAAAAUACUUCCCCACUUUUAAGCCUAUUUAUCGACUCACAUUUUGCUUUCAAACCGCUAUGUAGGCGGAAACUAGGCUAAACGCCAGGAGCUCACCCUGACCCAGGUUUCGAAUUGUCAACCUUUGAUUGACAAGAUUUACUGCAGCUGGUGGUUUAAGCUGCUGUGCUAAAGCCCAGCCCUCAUUUACAUCGCUGUAGGUAUAUAUACCGUAUUUUAAAAUAUUUUAAAUAUUCAUUUUUCUUUUAAUUGUCCUACACUGUUUCAUUAGUCUUUUGUUCAGGGCCAGUAUGGUUAACAAAAGGAAAAUGUGCAUGUGGAGGGGACAUUGCUGAGAUGUUUUGUUCCCUGGGAGGCAUCAGCAGACAGGCAUCAGACCUCAAAUCAAGGUACAGUAAAUUACUUUGUCCUUGGAAAUACAGCAAUUCUCCACUUGUUAUUGUUGUGGGCCUUCAAGUUGUUUCUGAGUUAUGGUGUUUUCUGAGGCUGAGAGUGUGUGGUCACUGAGUGGAUCUCCAUGGCUUAGUGGAGAAUCGGACCCUGGUCUCUACAGUGGUAGUUCAAUACUCAAACCACUAUGCUACACUGGCUUAAUAAUAGUUAUGGCUGACAACAAUAAACAUAUACAACAUCGGGUUGCUAUAAGUUUUCUGAACUGUAUGGCCACAUCUAUGACAUACAUAUGCUGCAAAUAUUCCUCAGAGGUUGUGAGGUCUGUUGGAAACUAGGCAAGUGGUGUUUAUAUAUCUGUGAAAUGUCCUGGGUGGGAGAAAAAUCUCUUGUCUGUUUUGAGGCAAGUGUGAAUGUUGCAAUUUGCCACCUUGAUUAACAUUGAAUGGCCUUGCAGCUUCAAAGCCUGGCUUCCUUCAAUAGAAAGGAAAAAUCCAUGAAAAUGAACAAAAUCUGGCUAUCAGUAUUAAAACACUCCAAGAUCAGAACAAUAAAUAAGGAGCAGCACUCUUAAAACAGAAGAAUUCCAGAGAAGAAGCAAUCAGGGGCAGCUAACGACUCUGAACAAAGGAUUUCCCCAGACCAGGAUGCGAGGCUGGGAAGGCCAUUUAAUGCUAACAAAGGUGAUUAAUUACAACAUUCACACUGGUCUCCAACAGACAAGAGUUCUUCCCCCCACCCAGGAACUUUUACAGAUAUAUAAACCUUUAUUGCUUAGUUUCUCCAUACCUCACAACCUCUGAGGAUGCCUGCCAUAGAUGUGGGCGAAAUGUCAGGAGAGAAUACUUCUGGAACAUGGCCAUACAGCCUGGAAAACAUGUGAUCCCGGCCAUGAAAGCCUUCGACAACACAUUGAACACCAUGCUAGUUUUGAAGCUUUGCAAACAUCAUCUUCAGGCACAGCCUAUAAAACAGCAUCUAACUCUGCUCUUGUGAUCCUAUCUACAACAAAUGUUAUUCGGCUGUGUUGUCAGUCCAAAUCACUCUCAGAGCACCUAUCACUGCCAGAAUGAUCGCUGUUUUCUUUUCCCAAAGGCACUGAAUCACAUUUUGGUGAUCUCAGUAUUUCAGAAUUUCUUUCUGCUCUUUGUCAUUGAUCCUUCUGUUCUCUGGGAUUGCCACACCUGUAACCCAGGCUUUCGUCUUCUCAACCAUAGUUAUGCCUGGCUAUAAUUGCAAUUAUCAUAAUUACUACCAUCCUCAUUAUUAUGAAUUGCCAAAUAUUUUGGGGCUGGGAAAUAAUCUUUCAACAGCCUGGACAUUUGUCUUUUCCUUGCCAAUUCUGUUUAGGCGAGAGAUGCCAUGAAAUGUACAAUGAUCCUACAGUGAAUUAUCUGGUGUCCAAAUGGUAUUGUGGGACCCAAGAGCAAUUAAAAAUACCUGGCUAUUUGCUAUUGGAUGCAGAAUUGUGUAAGCUUUGGUGGGCAGUUCAGUCCCAAGAGAGGGAAGCUGCUCACUUGUAUCAAGAAGACUUGCCCACAAAAGCAGGGUCCCCCCCCACCCCCUCCCCAUUAAUUAGUUUACAUCAACAGUAAUUUAUUUGCAGAACAAUUCUUCUUUUUUAAGUCAAAUUAUGCAGCAUAUGAACCCAAAGAGCUUUUGCUUUUUAGUUUAUGGGUGGGCAAAGUCGCCCCCGCAGUAUAGGAGUGCUAGUUCAUUUA
ensembl:lncRNA